AGCUGGGUGAAACAUACACUACUGCUGAAAAGGGGCAUCUUAAGGUUUGCUAAAGAGCUGUUGAAGUACUCGAAUAAAGAAACGAUCACUAGAAAAAGCCGGUUGGAAUUCGAUACUUUUCAUAUAGCCGCUUGAGUGGUUGUGCAUUGAUUCUCCACUCUAAUGAUGAUUUUAGUCAACUAUCUCGAGUUGUCGCGUGACUUUGUUUGCUGAUGUUCGAGUUGUCCAUUGGUUGCUACUGAACGAGCACUUAAGAUUAGCAAAUGCACCAAAGAAAGGGCGCCAACAAUGAUGAAAGGGAAAUGCAACUUUUGCCCAGCUGCGUGCUAGGGACACAUUGCAAUCGGGAGCGGUAGACAAAGAAGCCGCAUAGCACAAUGAUUU